rnacentral:rRNA from 1 species
AAACUUUCAACAACGGAUCUCUUGGUUCUGGCAUCGAUGAAGAACGCAGCGAAAUGCGAUAAGUAAUGUGAAUUGCAGAAUUCAGUGAAUCAUCGAAUCUUUGAACGCACAUUGACCCGCCAGCAUUAUGGCGGGCAUGCAUGUUCGAGCGUCAUUU